UACGUAGGUGGCAAGUGUUGUCCGGAAUUAUUGGGCGUAAAGCGCGCGCAGGCGGUCCUUUAAGUCUGAUGUGAAAGCCCACGGCUCAACCGUGGAGGGUCAUUGGAAACUGGGGGACUUGAGUGCAGGAGAGAAGAGUGGAAUUCCACGUGUAGCGGUGAAAUGCGUAGAGAUGUGGAGGAACACCAGUGGCGAAGGCGGCUCUCUGGAUCGGCCCUGACGCUAAUGCGCGAAAGCGUGGGGAGCAAACAGG
rnacentral:rRNA from 1 species